GACCUCCCUUGCCACCCAUGGCUGACUGCCGCCGACCUGUCAUUGCUCUUAAAGGGUUCCCUGCUGGUGCACACCUCUGGGGUGUGUGUGUGUGUUGGGGGGAGCUCACCAUGCUCCCUUCCCCCAAGCUUCUAACACCCCCUUGCCGUUCCAUUUCCGCCAAGUCACCGGCUGACAGCAAAGGAAGUGUUUGAUAACGAUGGGAAGCCUCGUGUGGAUAUCUUAAAAGCACAUCUCAUGAAGGAAGGCAGGCUGGAAGAAAGUGUCGCGUUGAGAAUAAUAACAGAGGGUGCUUCGAUUCUCCGACAGGAAAAAAACUUGCUGGAUAUUGAUGCCCCAGUCACAGUUUGCGGGGACAUCCAUGGACAAUUCUUUGACUUGAUGAAGCUCUUUGAAGUGGGAGGAUCUCCUGCCAACACUCGCUACCUCUUCUUAGGGGAC
rnacentral:lncRNA from 1 species